ACGGAAUAGAUACCCUGGUAGUCCCAGCCGUAAACGAUGCUCGCUAGGUGUCAGGCAUGGCGCGACCGUGUCUGGUGCCGCAGGGAAGCCGUGAAGCGAGCCACCUGGGAAGUACGGCCACAAGGCUGAAACUUAAAGGAAUUGGCGGGGGAGCACAACAACGGGUGGAGCCUGCGGUUUAAUUGGACUCAACGCCGGACAACUCACCGGGGGCGACAGCAAUAUGUAGGCCAAGCUGAAGACUUUGCCUGAAUCGCUGAGAGGAGGUGCAUGGCCGUCGCCAGUUCGUACUGUGAAGCAUCCUGUUAAGUCAGGCAACGAGCGAGACCCGUGCCCACUGUUACCAGCAUGUCCU
rnacentral:rRNA from 1 species